AUUUUGCUGUUGGCUUCUGUUCUGUUAUUUUUAGGUCACAGUGUUACUAUAGGUCCACAAAGCCCUGGAAAAUACUGCUCCAGAAGAAAGUGUUGACUCACUGCUACAGACUAUCAUGAAAUGAAGACAGUAGUCUGUUGUCUACAGCAGUUUGAUUUAACAACCAGAAAGGGUCAGGAAAGUAUACCAUUACGUCAUUGACUGUGAACAAUUCCUGAAGUUGUUGGGGAUUUGGCACAGAGAAGUAAUGAAGACUAAAACUGAUAAGUUUACCUCCUAUGGGUUAUUGUAUGACAUGUAAAGAACAUGAGGAUAUAAAAAUUAUUUCUGCACAAGCUUGUAAAACCUUUCAGAAGAGAAGCUCUUCUUUAUACCCAUUUUAAUUACUGUAGAACAAAUGGUCAUACCAACUGCUAUUCAGGUCUAUAAUGCAGCACCAUCUUUUAUAUAGUCUUUUGUCUAGACCCCCAAAUUCUUGUUGUGACCAACUCUUCCAGAUACUUCCCGAAUAAUAUAUGAGCCUUGUUCUGUAGGAAACUGUAAACAUGGGAAGGAAUUAAGAUUUAGGUUUCGCACCAAGAAAAAUCAGAUUCAUGCUGGAAUUUUCUGAGAAUUUUCAGGUUCUGUGGAGGUCAGGACACCCUGGUUUUCACGAGCUUAACCGACCACACUGUGUCCAUUCCUGGAAUAGCUGAAGAAUGAUAAUUUACACACAUAGCCAAGCCUGUAGUGUACUCAUUGAUUUGGUCAAAAGGCAAAAACGCAUGAUACUCAGGAAAUGGUUACAUUUACUUCCGUCUACCUAGAUGCACUUGUAAUGCUUUAUCCUGUGUACCCAGUUUCAACCAUGCAUGAGGUUUGCAUUACCUAGUUAUAACAAAGGUAUGUUGGAACUUUUAACUAGACACAUAGAAAGGCAUUCUUUGUUACAGCUCACUGAACUAGCCCAUCUUAUUUGUGAAUCAUUAAUGGCAUUGACUGCUGGCUAAGUUUACUUCGGUCGUAAAUCUAUAAAUGGCAUGGGAAGAUGUGGUAGAAUGAUUUUUCAUACUUAGCUUUCAAAUGAAAACAUUAUAGUUCCAAGGAAGGUAUAUGACAUUUUGGAAGGAGACAGAGCAAUCUUAAAAAGCUAACAUUUUUUGAUCUGUAGUAUUAAUUUUACGAUUCUGUUUCCUAAAGCUAUACAUUGCAGUGAAUGAGUAUAUACAGUCACAAAGAAAUCGCCCACUUUGAGACCACUACGGAGAGGCUUUUUAAAGCUGCUUCUUGAGAUUUAUUUACAGUUCUUUACAGAGUUUAAAAUUCAAAAUGCAUUUGAUGUUACUUGGGGUGAUAAAAUGAUCCAAGGUAGGAAACA